AUGGUUGCUUGGGGGGACCGAAACACGGCUUAUUAUCAAAAAAUAGCCAAUGGGAAUAAACGAAAAAAUACUAUUCAUUCUCUUAAUGUUGGGGAUGCGGUGAUUGAAGGGACUGAGAAGCUCUUGGAGCAUGCUACUGACUUUUAUAAAAGUAUUUUUGGGCCAGCCCAGGGGAACAUGUUUCAUCUUGACCCUGAUAUUUGGGGAGAAGAAGAGAAGCUCGAUGAGCUAGAUAAUGAGAUCCUUAACAGGCCGUUCACGGAAGAGGAAGUGAGAAAAGCCUUGUUUUCCAUGAAAAGCAACAGGGCUCCGGGCCCGGAUAAUAUACCUGCUGAAUUCUACUAG
rnacentral:rRNA from 1 species